GAUGAACGCUGGCGGCGUGCCUAAUACAUGCAAGUCGAGCGAACAGACGAGGAGCUUGCUCCUCUGACGUUAGCGGCGGACGAGUGAGUAACACGUGGAUAACCUACCUAUAAGACUGGGAUAACUUCGGGAAACCGGAGCUAAUACCGGAUAAUAUAUUGAACCGCAUGGUUCAAUAGUGAAAGACGGUUUUGCUGUCACUUAUAGAUGGAUCCGCGCCGCAUUAGCUAGUUGGUAAGGUAACGGCUUACCAAGGCAACGAUGCGUAGCCGACCUGAGAGGGUGAUCGGCCACACUGGAACUGAGACACGGUCCAAACUCCUACGGGAGGCAGCAGUAGGGAAUCUUCCGCAAUGGGCGAAAGCCUGACGGAGCAACGCCGCGUGAGUGAUGAAGGUCUUCGGAUCGUAAAACUCUGUUAUUAGGGAAGAACAAAUGUGUAAGUAACUAUGCACGUCUUGACGGUACCUAAUCAGAAAGCCACGGCUAACUACGUG
rnacentral:rRNA from 1 species